rnacentral:piRNA from 2 species
AUACAAACAACAUUAAAUGGACUC